GAAGAUUGGAAUGAGUUCAAUGACAUUAACAAACUCAUUAUUCGGUCACCUCUCAGGACAGAGUACAGAAUUGCAUUCCCUCAUCUUUAUAACAAUAGGCCCAGGAAAGUAAAGCUUGGUGUGUACCACACUCCCAUGGUCAUGUUCAUUAAAGCUGAGGAUCCUGAUUUACCUGCUUUCUAUUAUGAUCCAUUGAUACACCCUAUAACCUCCACUAACAAGGAGCGCCGAGAAAAGAAGGCUUGUGAUGACGAUGAU
rnacentral:misc_RNA from 1 species